UGUAGAGGAGAAAGCGCUGGUAACCCUGGCCCAUCUCUUUCAGCAUGAUUCCCCCUGGGCAUGAGCUGGAGAAGAGGUCUGUUCUCAUGUCAGGCCGGCCUGUCAGGAACAUGAGAGGACAGACGCAAAACCAAGCUGAGUCGGGCCUAGUAGUGCAGGGCCAUGAUCCCAGCUGCUCAGGAAGCUGAGGCAGGAGGAUUUCACAUUCAAGGCCUGCCUGGGCUAUAGGCAUGGAUUAGCCACAGCACUGGGGCCUCCCCCGCUCUUCCGGAUGCAACCACUCUACAGUGUACCCUGCAUGUCCAGCGACUCUGAGGCGUUCAGAGGAGAGCUGAGCCCUACAGUAGAAACCUGUAUCUGUAUCUGAAUUGGAGCUCUGCUGUGUUGUGAAGCACCGAGGAAAAGUGACUUCA